GACGAACGCUGGCGGCGUGCCUAAUACAUGCAAGUCGAACGCAGUGGGGACGGGUGAUUAACACGUGGGUAACCUCCCAUCAGAGGGGAUAACACUUGGAAACAGGUGCUAAACCGCUACUGAGGGAUGGACCCGCGGUGCAUUAGCUAGUUGGUGGGGUAACGGCUCACCAAGGCUACGAUGCAUAGCCGACCUGAGAGGAUGACCGGCCACACUGGGACUGAGACACGGCCCAGACUCCUACGGGAGGCAGCAGUAGGGAAUCUUCGGCAAUGGACGAAAGUCUGACCGAGCAACGCCGCGUGAGUGAAGAAGGUUUUCGGAUCGUAAAACUCUGUUGUUAGAGAAGCGGUAUCUAACCAGAAAGCCACGGCUAACUACGUGCCAGCAGCCGCGGUAAUAC
rnacentral:rRNA from 1 species